GAGUUUGAUCCUGGCUCAGAUUGAACGCUGGCGGCAUGCUUUACACAUGCAAGUCGGACGGCAGCACAAAGAAGCUUGCUUCUUGGGUGGCGAGUGGCGAACGGGUGAGUAACGCAUCGGAACGUACCGAGUAGUGGGGGAUAACUGUCCGAAAGGAUGGCUAAUACCGCAUACGCUUUGAGAAGGAAAGCGGGGGAUCUUCGGACCUCGCGCUAUUCGAGCGGCCGAUGUCUGAUUAGCUAGUUGGUGGGGUAAAGGCCUACCAAGGCGACGAUCAGUAGCGGGUCUGAGAGGAUGAUCCGCCACACUGGGACUGAGACACGGCCCAGACUCCUACGGGAGGCAGCAGUGGGGAAUUUUGGACAAUGGGCGCAAGCCUGAUCCAGCCAUGCCGCGUGUCUGAAGAAGGCCUUCGGG
rnacentral:rRNA from 1 species